rnacentral:rRNA from 1 species
GUUGUCUGAUUACCUAGUUGGUGACGUAAAGGCUUACCAAGGCUUCGAUCAGUAGCUGGUCUGAGAGGACGACCAGCCACACUGGGACUGAGACACGGCCCAGACUCCUACGGGAGGCAGCAGUGGGGAAUUUUGGACAAUGGGGGAAACCCUGAUCCAGCCAUGCCGCGUGAGUGAAGAAGGCCUUCGGGUUGUAAAGCUCUUUCAGCCGGAACGAAACGGUCACGGCUAAUACCYGUGACUACUGACGGUACCGGAAGAAGAAGCACCGGCUAACUACGUGCCAGCAGCCGCGGUAAUACUUANGGUGCUAGCGUUAAUCGGAAUUACUGGGCGUAAAGCGUGCKCAUGCGGUUUUGUAAGUCACAUGUGAAAUCCCCGGGCUCAACCUGGGAACU